rnacentral:lncRNA from 1 species
CGAAAACUUUCUGGCAUACACUGUCUGGACUUCUGCUCAAGUGAUAGCUAGCACACAGCCAGGGCUCCUUUGUCCUGCUGCAUUCUGCCAGAGGGGUGCCUACACUCUAGCUCCUAAGAAUUGGUGCAUCUGCCUAGAAGAACCAAGAAGAUAGUGGAGCCUGGGGGUGGACAGAGCAUCAUCCAGUACAGUCUCAGGGAUGGGUGUGUCCCACAUAGGGGCUUCUCCUUCAGCCUGGAUCCAGGAACAAGACUUGUGGAGCAGAGCCCAUCGGAACCUCAGCAGCCACGGUCCAACCACAACUUCCAGCAUGUGAUGCGAUCCAGAAAUCAAUGUUUGCUGUAAGCAGCUGAGAUCUGGGUGUUGUCCCUCAGC